rnacentral:rRNA from 1 species
GUGUCAGCAGCCGCGGUAAGACGAACCGAGCGAACGUUGUUCGGAAUCACUGGGCUUAAAGGGCGCGUAGGCGGGUAUUCAAGUCUGUGGUGAAAUCCGGCAGCUCAACUGUCGAAUUGCCGUGGAUACUGGGUAUCUCGAGGGAGGCAGGGGUGCGCGGAACUGAUGGUGGAGCGGUGAAAUGCGUUGAUAUCAUCAGGAACUCCGGUGGCGAAGGCGGCGCACUGGUCCUUUUCUGACGCUGAGGCGCGAAAGCCAGGGGAGCAAACGGGAUUAGAAACCCCAGUAGUCC